GGUGGCUCAGUGGUAGAGCGCUUGCCUUGUAUGGAUGAGGCCCUGGGUUCGAUUCCUCAGCACCA
rnacentral:tRNA from 1 species